AUCGCAUGGUGGUUGGUGGAAAGCUUUUUGUGGUUUUGGAUGGACUCGCGGCCUAUCAGCUUGUUGGUGAGGUAAUGGCUUACCAAGGCGACGACGGGUAGCCGGCCUGAGAGGGUGACCGGCCACACUGGGACUGAGACACGGCCCAGACUCCUACGGGAGGCAGCAGUGGGGAAUAUUGCACAAUGGGCGCAAGCCUGAUGCAGCGACGCCGCGUGAGGGAUGACGGCCUUCGGGUUGUAAACCUCUUUCAGUAGGGAAGAAGCGAAAGUGACGGUACCUGCAGAAGAAGCGCCGGCUAACUACGUGCCAGCAGCCGCGGUAAUACGUAGGGCGCAAGCGUUAUCCGGAAUUAUUGGGCGUAAAGAGCUCGUAGGCGGUUUGUCGCGUCUGCCGUGAAAGUCCGGGGCUCAACUCCGGAUCUGCGGUGGGUACGGGCAGACUAGAGUGAUGUAGGGGAGACUGGAAUUCCUGGUGUAGCGGUGAAAUGCGCAGAUAUCAGGAGGAACACCGAUGGCGAAGGCAGGUCUCUGGGCAUUAACUGACGCUGAGGAGCGAAAGCAUGGGGAGCGAACAGGAUUAGAUACCCUGGUAGUCCAUGCCGUAAACGUUGGGCACUAGGUGUGGGGGACAUUCCACGUUUUCCGCGCCGUA
rnacentral:rRNA from 1 species